rnacentral:rRNA from 1 species
AUUGAACGCUGGCGGCAUGCCUUACACACGCAAGUCGAACGGUAACAGGUCUUCGGAUGCUGACGAGUGGCGAACGGGUGAGUAAUACAUCGGAACGUGCCUAGUAGUGGGGGAUAACUACUCGAAAGAGUGGCUAAUACCGCAUGAGAUCUACGGAUGAAAGCAGGGGCUCGCAAGACCUUGUGCUACUAGAGCGGCCGAUGGCAGAUUAGGUAGUUGGUGGGAUAAAAGCUUACCAAGCCGACGAUCUGUAGCUGGUCUGAGAGGACGAUCAGCCAAACGGGGACUGAGACACGGCCAAGUCUCAUACGGGAGGCAGCAGGGGGGAAUUUUGGAGAAUGGGCGCAUGCCUGAUCCAGCAAUGCCGCGUGCAGGAUGAAGGCCUUCGGGUUGUAAACUGCUUUUGUACGGAACGAAAAGCCCCGGGUUAAUACCCUGGGGUCAUGACGGUACCGUAAGAAUAAGCACCGGCUAACUACGUGCCAGCCGCCGCAGUAA